CGGUUGAUCCUGCCGGACCCCACUGCUAUCGGGAUGGGACUAAGACAUGCUAGUCGAGCGUCUCCCAAGCCAUUGAAGAGACGCGGCACACAGCUCAGUAACACGUGGCUAACCUGCCCUUGGGACAAGGACAACCCCGGGAAACUGGGGCUAAUCCUUGAUAAGCGAGAACUCCUGGAAUGGAUUCUCGCUCAAAGGACGCCUAGACCAUGCUUCUAGGCGUCGCCCAAGGAGGGAGCCGCGGCCGAUCAGGUUGUUGGUGAGGUAACGGCUCACCAAGCCUUUAACCGGUACGGGCCGCGAGAGCGGAAGCCCGGAGAUGGGCACUGAGACAAGGGCCCAGGCCCUACGGGGCGCAGCAGUCGCGAAAACUCCGCAAUACACGAAAGUGUGACGGGGCCAUCCCGAGUGCCAUCCGCUGAGGAUGGCUUUUCCCCAGUGUAUAAAGCUGGAGGAAUAAGGAGAGGGCAAGCCUGGUGUCAGCCGCCGCGGUAAUACCAGCUCUCCGAGUGGUGGGGAUGCUUAUUGGGCCUAAAGCAUCCGUAGCCGGCCGGGCAAGUCCCCCGUUAAAUCCAACGAUUCAAUCGUUGGGCUGCGGGGGAUACUGCCCGGCUAGGGGGCGGGAGAGGCCGACGGUAUUCCCGGGGUAGGGGUGAAAUCCUAUAAUCCCGGGAAGACCACCAGUGGCGAAGGCUGUCGGCUAGAACGCGCCCGACGGUGAGGGAUGAAAGCUGGGGGAGCGAACCGGAUUAGAUACCCGGGUAGCCCCAGCUGUAAACGAUGCAGGCUAGGUGUUGGGGCGGCUACGUGCCGCUCCAGUGCCGCAGGGAAGCCGUUAAGCCUGCCGCCUGGGAAGUACGGCCGCAAGGCUGAAACUUAAAGGAAUUGGCGGGGGAGCAC
rnacentral:rRNA from 1 species